rnacentral:lncRNA from 1 species
UGGCGCCCCGCCUGCGCCCCACCACGUGCGGGGAGGCUCAGCGGUCUGGUAGCGCUGGGAAGACCAAGUCCAUGCUCUGAUAUGCACUUCGGACAUCGCCAGGCGGCAGGAAAGGCACGGAUGAGCCAGGGCCAGCACCAGAAGUGACUUUUAGGGACUGCUGCCACGUUCUCACCUGCAUGCCUCCGUUUCCCCUCUGGUAUCUAAGAGAGAGUAAUUCAGACCCCAGACUCAGCCGGUAGAGAGGAGAAGCAGCUGCAUGUUGGGGACUAUGGCCAAAGUCAGAGAGAACCAGCUUGACUUCAGAGGGACAGCUUGACAGUGUAACUUCAAAGAAGAAUCUGGCCAGAGACUGCUGGACCUCAGGGGAAGAUUACCUACAUUCCCUGGCCCCUUUUCAACCUCCCUUCCCUCUGAGAGCCACUUUCAUCAGCAAUAAAAU